rnacentral:rRNA from 1 species
GACGAACGCUGGCGGCGUGCUUAACACAUGCAAGUCGAACGGAAAGGCCCUGCUUGCAGGGUACUCGAGUGGCGAACGGGUGAGUAACACGUGGGUGAUCUGCCCUGCACUUCGGGAUAAGCCUGGGAAACUGGGUCUAAUACCGGAUAGGAGCCAUUUUUAGUGUGAUGGUUGGAAAGUUUUUUUCGGUGUAGGAUGAGCUCGCGGCCUAUCAGCUUGUUGGGGGGGUAAUGGCCUACCAAGGCGGCGGCGGGUAGCCGGCCUGGGAGGGUGGACGGCCACAUUGGGGAUGGGAUACGGCCCAGACCCCUACGGGAGGCAGCAGUGGGGAAUAUUGCACAAUGGGCGCAAGCCUGAUGCAGCGACGCCGCGUGGGGGAUGACGGGCUUCGGGUUGGAAACUCCUUUCGCUAGGGACGAAGCUUUUUGUGACGGUACCUAGAUAAGAAGCACCGGCUAACUACGUG